AACGAACGCUGGCGGCAGGCCUAACACAUGCAAGUCGAACGCCCGUAGCAAUACGGGAGUGGCAGACGGGUGAGUAACGCGUGGGAACGUGCCCUUCGGUUCGGAAUAACUCAGGGAAACUUGAGCUAAUACCGGAUACGUCCGUAAGGAGAAAGAUUUAUCGCCGAAGGAUCGGCCCGCGUCGGAUUAGCUAGUUGGUGAGGUAACGGCCCACCAAGGCGACGAUCCGUAGCUGGUCUGAGAGGANGAUCAGCCA
rnacentral:rRNA from 1 species